GCUGUUUUGCAACGCACCCAUCAUGGCUAACAAUUACAAACGCGCAGGUUGUCUCGUUCGCAUCGAGUAGGUCAGGGGUUCGAAUCCCCUUAGCUCCA
rnacentral:tRNA from 1 species